UUCCGGUUGAUCCCGCCGGACCCCACUGCUAUCGGGAUAGGACUAAGACAUGCUAGUCGCGUGGCUCAGCCAAUACGAGUCACGGCAUACAGCUCAGUAACACGUGGCUAACCUGCCCUUGGGACGAGAACACCCCCGGGAAACUGGGGCUAAUUCUCGAUAGGCGAAGAACUCUGGAAUGAGUCUUCACCCAAAAGAAUCUGCGUUACGCUCGUAGGUUUGCCCAAGGAUGGGGCCGCGACCGAUCAGGUUGUUGGUGAGGUAAUGGCUCACCAAGCCUUUUACCGGUGCGGGCCGUGGGAGCGGGAGCCCGGAGAUGGGCACUGAGACAAGGGCCCCAGCCCUACGGGGCGCA
rnacentral:rRNA from 1 species